UUAGAGUUUGAUCCUGGCUCAGAUUGAACGCUGGCGGCAUGCCUUACACAUGCAAGUCGAACGGUAACAGGGAGCUUGCUCCGCUGACGAGUGGCGAACGGGUGAGUAAUAUAUCGGAACAUACCCUAGAGUGGGGGAUAACGUAGCGAAAGUUACGCUAAUACCGCAUACGAACUAAGGUUGAAAGUGGGGGCUCGCAAGACCUCAUGCUCAUGGAGUGGCCGAUAUCUGAUUAGCUAGUUGGUGAGGUAAAGGCUCACCAAGGCGACGAUCAGUAGCUGGUUUGAGAGAACGACCAGCCACACUGGAACUGAGACACGGUCCAGACUCCUACGGGAGGCAGCAGUGGGGAAUUUUGGACAAUGGGGGCAACCCUGAUCCAGCAAUGCCGCGUGAGUGAAGAAGGCCUUCGGGUUGUAAAGCUCUUUUGUCAGGGAAGAAACGGUGAGGUCUAAUACACUUUACUAAUGACGGUACCUGAAGAAUAAGCACCGGCUAACUACGUGCCAGCAGCCGCGGUAAUACGUAGGGUGCAAGCGUUAAUCGGAAUUACUGGGCGUAAAGCGUGCGCAGGCGGUUAUAUAAGUCAGAUGUGAAAUCCCCGGGCUCAACCUGGGAACUGCAUUUGAGACUGUAUGGCUAGAGUGUGUCAGAGGGGGGUAGAAUUCCACGUGUAGCAGUGAAAUGCGUAGAUAUGUGGAGGAAUACCGAUGGCGGAGGCAGCCCCCUGGGAUAACACUGACGCUCAUGCACGAAAGCGUGGGGAGCAAACAGGAUUAGAUACCCUGGUAGUCCACGCCCUAAACGAUGUCUACUAGUUGUUGGGUCUUAAUUGACUUAGUAACGCAGCUAACGCGUGAAGUAGACCGCCUGGGGAGUACGGUCGCAAGAUUAAAACUCAAAGGAAUUGACGGGGACCCGCACAAGCGGCGGAUGAUGUGGAUUAAUUCGAUGCAACGCGAAGAACCUUACCAGGCCUUGACAUCCAAUGAACUUUCUAGAGAUAGAUUGGUGCCUUCGGGAACAUUGAGACAGGUGCUGCAUGGCUGUCGUCAGCUCGUGUCGUGAGAUGUUGGGUUAGUCCCGUAACGAGCGCACCCCUUGUCCUUAGUUACCAGCACGUAAUGGUGGGCACUCUAAAGGAACUGCCGGUGACAACCCGAGGGAAGGUGGGGAUGACGUCAAGU
rnacentral:rRNA from 1 species